rnacentral:rRNA from 1 species
GCUCAGAACGAACGCUGGCGGCAGGCUUAACACAUGCAAGUCGAGCGCCCCGCAAGGGGAGCGGCAGACGGGUGAGUAACGCGUGGGAAUCUACCCAUCUCUACGGAACAACUCCGGGAAACUGGAGCUAAUACCGUAUACGUCCUUCGGGAGAAAGAUUUAUCGGAGAUGGAUGAGCCCGCGUUGGAUUAGCUAGUUGGUGGGGUAAUGGCCUACCWAGGCGACGAUCCAUAGCUGGUCUGAGAGGAUGAUCAGCCACWCUGGGACUGAGACACGGCCCAGACUCCUACGGGAGGCAGCWGUGGGGAAUAUUGGACKAAUGGGCGAAAGCCUGAUCCAGCCAUGCCGCGUGAGUGAUGAAGGCCCUAGGGUUGUAAAGCUCUUUCAACGGU